rnacentral:rRNA from 1 species
UACGUAGGGUGCAAGCGUUGUCCGGAAUUAUUGGGCGUAAAGAGCUCGUAGGCGGUUUGUUACGUCGGAUGUGAAAACCCGAGGCUUAACCUCGGGCCUGCAUUCGAUACGGGCAGACUCGAGUGUGGUAGGGGAGACUGGAACUCCUGGUGUAGCGGUGAAAUGCGCAGAUAUCAGGAAGAACACCGGUGGCGAAGGCGGGUCUCUGGGCCACUACUGACGCUGAGGAGCGAAAGCGUGGGGAGCGAACAGG